rnacentral:rRNA from 1 species
ACCAGACUCCUACGGGAGGCAGCAGUGGGGAAUAUUGCACAAUGGGGGGAACCCUGAUGCAGCGACGCCGCGUGAGUGAAGAAGUAUUUCGGUAUGUAAAGCUCUAUCAGCAGGGAAGAAAAUGACGGUACCUGACUAAGAAGCCCCGGCUAACUACGUGCCAGCAGCCGCGGUAAUACGUAGGGGGCAAGCGUUAUCCGGAUUUACUGGGUGUAAAGGGAGCGCAGACGGCUGUGCAAGUCUGGAGUGAAAGGCGGGGGCCCAACCCCCGGACUGCUCUGGAAACUGUAAAGCUGGAGUGCAGGAGAGGUAAGCGGAAUUCCUAGUGUAGCGGUGAAAUGCGUAGAUAUUAGGAGGAACACCAGUGGCGAAGGCGGCUUACUGGACUGCAACUGACGUUGAGGCUCGAAAGCGUGGGGAGCAAACAGGAUUAGAUACCCGCGUAAA